rnacentral:rRNA from 1 species
GGUGAACGCUAGCGGCAGGCCUAAUACAUGCAAGUCGAACGGUAGAUCGGGUAGCAAUACUUGAUUGAGAGUGACGUAAGGGUGCGUAACACGUAUGCAAUCUACCCUCAACAGGAGUAUAGCUCGGGGAAACUCGGAUUAACACUCCAUAACAUUACGAUGUGGCAUCACAUUGUGAUUAAAACUCCGGUGGUUGAGGAUGAGCAUGCGUCUGAUUAGUUAGUUGGAGGUGUAACGGACCCUUAAGACGAUGAUCAGUAGGGGAACUGAGAGGUUGAUCCCCCACACUGGCACUGAGAUACGGGCCAGACUCCUACGGGAGGCAGCAGUAGGGAAUAUUGGUCAAUGGGUGAGAGCCUGAACCAGCCAUGCCGCGUGCAGGAAGACGGCCUUCUGGGUUGUAAACUGCUUUUAUCUGGGGAUAAAAAGCCCAUGCGUGGGACAUUGAAGGUACCAGAUGAAUAAGCACCGGCUAACUACGUG